rnacentral:rRNA from 1 species
GACGAACGCUGGCGGCGUGCUUAACACAUGCAAGUCGAGCGGAGCGGCGAACGGGUGAGUAACGCGUGAGUAACUGCCCCCCUCUCUGGGAUAACAGUUGGAAACGGCUGCUAAUACCGGAUAGUGGGGGAUGACUUGCGUCCUAUCAGCUUGUUGGUGGGGUAGUGGCCUACCAAGGCGACGACGGGUAGCCGGCCUGAGAGGGCGACCGGCCACAUGGGGAUGAGAGACGGCACAAAAGCCGACGGGAGGCAGCAGGGGGGAAUAUUGCACAAGGGGGGAAACCCUGAUGCAGCAACGCCGAGUGCGGGAGGACGGCCUGCGGGUUGUAAACCGCUUGCAGCCAUGACGCGGUAGUGGCAGAAGAAGCACCGGCUAACUACGUGCCAGCCGCCGCGGUAAUUC